rnacentral:lncRNA from 12 species
CUCACAUCAUAAGGGGUGAGGGAGAGUCUGUGCAAAGACUCACGUCUCCAAAUUCCUUUUCAGGUUACCUCACCUCUUACACAUGCCUCUCCAACCAUCUUUGCCUGAUGAAGCCCUUUAUUGCUGAGUUUUCUCAAAUGUUCCACCCAAGGCCCUUCAUCUCCUACCAACCUAAGCCAAAGAGUACAGAAAGUUAUUAAUUGAGUAGAGCUCAUUUCCCAAACUUCAGAACUCAGGACCCAUUAUUUGUCUUGUUUCUACUUUCAGAUUAUGGCACCUCAGAAACCAAUGCUGGCUACCUGACAACCUCCAUUGUUACCUGUGGAGCUGUUCUUUUAAGAUUUAUUUUAUGGUCUAAAUUGAUUUGGCUUCCAUAACAAUACCCUCAAUGAAUCUGAUCUCACUGGUAAAAUGGAACUUUUUUCUUUAAAAGCAGUUUUCAAGAAGCGGUUUAAAAUGUCUGGUAUUGUUACUUUAUGAAGUACCUAUUCUUCAACAAUAGAGCAAAUAACAAGUACAUCUCCUCAGGCUGCACUCUCCUUUGUGGUACUUUGAGAAUCCCUCAACUCACUUUUUCUGUCAAUUAACCUCUCAUUUAAAUUUCUCUCUCGAAUAAAAACUUUUCUGACCUCCUUCCAUUAACCUCUUCUUCAUAAUACCAUUCACCAUCUGUUACUUUUCUCUAGAUACAUUUAAUUUCUUGGAAGGAAUUUUCAUGACAGUAAUGGGGCAGAAGAGAAAAACUGGCCAAGUUUACAGACUUAGUGAGAUUAAGGAGAUGAUGAUGGUGCUCAGGACUCAAAGGCAUAAAGCAGAUAGAUUUCCUGGGUUACCUAUGACAAAAGCUGUUCUUGUCUGAAGAUAUCUACAGGAGAAAAUUAAAUCAUCUUUCUUGUAUCAGUUUUUCAUCCAUUCUGAAGAACCCUCUCCACAUUUCUGGCUUGAUGAGUUUGAGUAUGUUUGUAUCGGGAGCCAGUUGUUCACGUUGAACUUUAUCUUUCAGUUUGUCAAAAAAAAAAAAAAAAAAAUCUAGCACUAUCCAAGCACCAGGAUUAAUUUCCAAGAACACAGAGAUUGGAGGGAGGCUGUCAAGGCAUCUGGAACCUCAAGUUCCCAGCCCCCCACCCAGGACCCCUUAA